rnacentral:rRNA from 1 species
UGUCUUGUAAAUGGAAUGAUGGUGACUUAAACCCUCACCAGAGUACCAAUUGGAGGGCAAGUCUGGUGCCAGCAGCCGCGGUAAUUCCAGCUCCAAUAGCGUAUAUUAAACUUGUUGCAGUUAAAAAGCUCGUAGUUGAAUUUCAGCGUUUCGCGUGUGCCUCUUUUGGCCCAUCUCGUCUCGCUUUUUUUAUUACUUUGAGAAAAUUAGAGUGUUUCAAGCAGGCUUUUGUCUUGAAUACUUGAGCAUGGAAUAAUAGAGUAGGACCUUGGUUCUAUUUUGUUGGUUUUGUUACCUUGGUAAUGGUUAAUAGGAACGGUUGGGGGCAUUCGUAUUUAACUGUCAGAGGUGAAAUUCUUAGAUUUGUUAAAGACGAACUACUGCGAAAGCAUUUGCCAAGGACGU